AUGUUGUAUGAAAGGAGAGAAGGUUAGCAGUCCCCUUGACAAGGAUGGAAGAGGCCCUCGGACCUGACAAUAUGUAUUCAGAAAAUUAG
ensembl:snRNA